GCGCAUUUCUUCCUUAAAUUAGUAAACCAAAAUUCUCCAACAGUCUUUAGGUUUUUGUGCUCCCAGCAUCUUUGAUCAUUGUUGUAACAGUAUAAUAUCCGUAGUGUGAUCUUUGCCUGUAAAGGUGGUUGAUUAAAAUUAGCAAAGCUUUUGUCUGGGAAAGAAUUGAAAAGAACACCAGGUUCCAGAGUAAGAUAUUCUUGGAU